GCGAAGCAUGCGUUUAGGAACUUGACCCAUUUCCAGUGAGGAGCAGUGACUUGCCCACCACCACACAGCCACUUAGGAGCAAAGCCUGAUUCCACCAGCACCCAACGCUCAGCCUGGCUUUUGGGAGAUCAGCCUCCGGCUGGGCAAGCUGAAGCAAACUGAGAGGCACUCGGCCUCCGGUCCAGGAAGCAGGCGCUGCAGGGGACGGAAGGGUCGGAGCCCACGCCGCGUGAGGCCGAGGAGCUGGGCGGAGGCGCCCGAAGUCAGCCUGGGGAGAAGUGGGUGUGCUGGGGGCCGGGCGGGGCCGGGGGAGGAGGCGCCCUAGGGAAGGUUAAAGGGAGCAGAGCGCGGGUCGGGGCGCAGAGCCGAGGGGGCGCGGGCUGCGUGCAGACCCGCAGACGGAGCGCGGACGAGCCCAGGGUGCGGGGUCCUACCGAGAGACGGGCGCCCCUCGGAGUCUUGCCGAGAGGCAGCUCUGGGCCUUCUCAGCUCCCAAAGUCAAUACUGAAACCCCAGAUGUAUCCAGAGACACCCUGAAGAGGCUGAGAGACUGAGGAGCCCGAGGACACCCACAGGGAGAUUCCUGAAGCUGACUAAGAGCCACAGAGGAUUUGCCUGUGAUUUGGUGAGUCUUCCAGAUUCAGGUUGCCCUUCCUCUGUCCUGUCAGUCAAAACUAGCUGGUAAGGAUAUCUAAGAAAACGGGUAACAGUGACUGCUCUGGGAAAGAGUCCUGGACCUCUGGGAACAGGGAGACUUCAUCUUCAUUGUAUGUACUGUGUCUAUGUGUUUCCUUCUCAAAAAUGGAGAAUAGAUUUAAAAAUGUUUUUUCACCAUAAUAAAACUGUAUGUUCAAGCCAGCCUGGAGGGAGGCAGGGCAGGGAUGAUGUUGUCGUUUUUAAUUGUGGUUAAAAAAAAUACAUAAAAUUUACCCUAUUAGCCAUUUUUAAGUGUGCAGCUCAGUAUUAACUAUAUUCAUACUGUUGUGCAACAGAUCUCUAGAACUUUUUCAUUUUUUUUUUUAAAGAUUUUAUUUGUCAGAGAGAGAGAGGGCGCACAAGCAGGGAGAGCGGCAGGCAGAGGGAGAAGCAGGCUCCCGCUGAGCAAGGAGCCUGAUGUGGGGCUUGAUCCCAGGAUCCUACGAUCAUGACCUGAGCCGAAGGCAGACACUUAACCGACUGAGCCAUCCAGGUGUCCCUAGAACUUUUUCAUCUUGCAAAAAUGAGACUCUGUACCCGUUGAGCAACUCCCGAUGAUAAUCAUUUUGACAGAUGAGGAAACUAAAGCCCAAACAGGGCAAGAAGCCCAUUGCUUUCAAAGUGGGCUCCACCAGGCACCCCAUUUGUCUGUUAUCUCCCUGUAAAACUGUCUGAGGCCCCUUC
rnacentral:lncRNA from 1 species